GAGUUUGAUUAUGGCUCAGGACAAACGCUGGCGGCGUGCAUAACACAUGCAAGUCGAACGAAAUCUACAUGAUUUAGUGGCGAACGGGUGAGUAACACGUGAGAAACCUGCCUUACACAGAGGGAUAGCCGUUGGAAACGACGAUUAAUACCUCAUGACACCGUGACAUCGCAUGAUGAUGCGGUCAAAGAUUUAUCGGUGUAAGAUGGUCUCGCGCCUGAUUAGCUGGUUGGUGGGGUAACGGCCUACCAAGGCGACGAUCAGUAGCCGAUCUGAGAGGGUGGACGGCCACAUUGGGACUGAGACACGGCCCAAACUCCUACGGGAGGCAGCAGUGGGGAAUUUUGCACAAUGGGGGAAACCCUGAUGCAGCGACGCCGCGUGAACGAAGAAGGCCUUCGGGUUGUAAGUUCUGUCCUUG
rnacentral:rRNA from 1 species